rnacentral:rRNA from 1 species
CUUGAUCGUGAUGAGCAUGCCGCGUGAGUGAUGACGGCCUUCGGGUUGUAAAGCUCUUUUGUUAGGGAAGAACACGUACCGGAGUAUAUGCGCGUGCCUUGACCGUACCUAAACAGAAAGCCCCGGCUAACUACGUGCCCGCAGCCGCGGUAAUACGUAGGGGGCAAGCGUUAUUCGGAAUUAUUGGGCGUAAAGCGCGCGCAGGCGGUUUUUUAAGUCUGAUGUGAAAGCCCCGGGCUCAACCUGGGAAGUGCAUUGGAAACUGGGGGACUUGAGUGCGGAAGAGGAAAGUGGAAUUCCACGUGUAGCGGUGAAAUGCGUUGAGAUGUGGAGGAACUUGCGUGGCCAAGGCGGCCUUCUGGGCUGGUACUGACGCUGAGGCGCG